rnacentral:tRNA from 1 species
GCCUUCGUGGUGUAGUGGUUAACACGUUCGGUGCAUAUCCAAGAGGUCCGAGGUUCGAGUCCCGGUGAGGGCA